rnacentral:tRNA from 1 species
AUUUCAUAAGUAUAGUAGUAUAUUUGAUUUCCAAUCAAAAGGUUUUUGUUAAUAGUCAGAAAUGGAAUAC